AAAAUACACCGUUACUGUUAGCCUUUCCUGCUCAGCUACCAGGCCGUAUUUGGAAGCACAGGGGAGAUGUUUGCUUGGGCUAACCCCCUUCACUUUCAACCCUCAUAGGACUGAAUUUCUGGUUGAGGUUUUACACCGUGUCUGUGGACCAAAUGCUGGUGUGUGUGAAUGGAAUACAAUGUAUUUCAAAACAUUUAUUUAUUUUGUGAUUUCAGGUCAUGUGGAAAGACUGUGCUUGUGGAGAUCUACUGCAGAUGACCAUGGCAAUCCAGAUCCUUGUGGGGCCACUAUUAAAAGUUUGGUAUUGCAACAGUGAGACCAUCUUGCGAGAGUGAUCGCAUGGUGUCAGAAGACUUGGAUUAUACUACACGAACUGUAUGGAGUUAUUUUAUGGACAUUUGUUGUCCUUUUUGAAGCUGAAGAGCUGGACUACAUUUAAUGCAAUUGUUUGGAAGAAAGCUCCCCUGGCAGUAAUUUUAAUCACAGUCAUAGCCCCUGUCACUUUCCUGAUAGUAACAUUUUAUUUUGUGACUGAAAUGCAAAGAUUGCUGAAAUCGCACCAUCUGAUCACAUCUUCAUUACCUUGUCUUCAGGAUUUUUAUCUGCGACCUGCACUCAUUGCUGGGCACAGCCUUAUACCUUUGGUUUAUUAACAUCGGGACUGGGCCACUGCCCUUGACGUGAUAUUGAACUUUGUUGAAGUUUGGGUUGUGGAGAUUAGUGGCCAUGACAUAAGUCCAAAUAUUGCUGAUCGUCUUCAUCAGAUGCUCCUGUGCUUCACAAGUGUGGAACAGAGUAUAGCCUCCCAAAAAAAAUGUAUUGCAUUGAGGAUACAGGUCUUAAAAUGACUCUUUUUGCACAUAAACGGGCAAAAGACAGAUUCUGCUAGUAUGUUAAAAAGACUUCUGUAAUCAUGUUAAAUUAGGCCACCUUUUGAAUUGUGAGAUGCCUCUUGCUAGAGCAAAGACAUUACUGACUCAGUACACAGAUGGUAAAAGGAAAUGGUAGGCUAAUCUUACCAUUUAUAGGUGAAAAAUAUUGCCAAAUUUUCAAUAUUGCCAACUUGUGUAGCAUAUGAUCAGCUGCUGGAGAAGAUCAAUAUUUUGUAGACUUCAGCAUUAAGAGUACAACACAAAGUUCUAUCAAGAUUCAAUAUCACUUUAAAGGAUAAAGCCAGUGUAAUUUUGUAUUUUACUUACUGUAAACAUGGCCUGUGAAAGGAGCAAAAACUGCAUUGCUUUUCUGUUACUAACAAAUAUGGUCCAUCUUGCCGCCACCAGACUGAACUCCAUGGUAUUCUAAAAUUAACACAAGUCACAAACUUGUAAUUUUGCUUUGGUCUGCAUAAUUUAUCAUUACGAUGACACUUCAUAAAUUUGUUUCCCAGAAAGUGUCAUGAUGAAUUAUGAUGAUCAAAGAAAAAAUAUAGGUCUGUGACUUUUCACUGGUUUUUGGAAUACAGUGGAUUUCAAUUAGUUUGAUGGUGGCUAUAAGGGCCAUAGCUGAAAUGCACUGUAGGAAUUGCUCUAUUCACAGGCCAUGGUGUCAAUAAGUAUAAAUGUACAAAUCCCAUUUCCAGAAAAGUUGGGAUAUUUUGGAAAAUGCAAUAAAAACAAGAAUCUGUUAUUUGUUAAUUAUCUUCAACC